AGUGAACGCUGGCGGCAGGCCUAACACAUGCAAGUCGAACGGCAGCACGGCAGUAGCAAUACUGUGGGUGGCGAGUGGCGGACGGGUGAGGAAUACGUCGGAAUCUGCCCAGUCGUGGGGGAUAACUAGCCGAAAGGUUAGCUAAUACCGCAUACGACCGAGAGGUGAAAGCGGGGGACCGCAAGGCCUCGCGCGAUUGGAUGAGCCGACGUCGGAUUAGCUAGUUGGAGGGGUAAAGGCCCACCAAGGCGACGAUCCGUAGCUGGUCUGAGAGGAUGAUCAGCCACACUGGAACUGAGACACGGUCCAGACUCCUACGGGAGGCAGCAGUGGGGAAUAUUGGACAAUGGGCGCAAGCCUGAUCCAGCAAUGCCGCGUGUGUGAAGAAGGCCU
rnacentral:rRNA from 1 species